ACCCCUACCUCGCUCUCUCCGCACGAACCUCUCUGUCUCUUGCGACUCCUCUCUCCCCCACGAGCCUCUCUCCCUCGCCGCCGCCACCACCCACGCCGCCCAGUUCCGGCGAGCUCCGGCGGCGCGCAGCACGCCCUCGAGCUCCCCUAGGUCCGCUCCACCUCCCCCUCCGUCCAGAAUCGGUGCUCCCGCCCUCCACUGUCCCCGUGGCUAGCUAGGGUUUCGGCCGCCACCCCCAACAUCGCCGGGAUCAGCCACAUCCGGCGACGGCGAGGCCAGAGCUCGACGAAUCCGUUACCGGUGUGUCGCAGGUCACCUUGGCGCGGUCUGGACGACGACGACGGCAGGAGGGCGCCGUCCUUCCUACUGGCCCACCUAGCUGGCGGCCCUGUCCUGCUCGAGGAGGCGGGCUGUCUAGCUCAAGCACGGCCACGACGACCCACCUCGGCAGGUAGGUACCGCUGAUGUACUGGAGCCUUGAUCUUAAUUUUUCUUCAUUGAUGUCCUUGGAGAAGAUGGCCAUUGGAGUGUAGGGGAGGAACAACCUUGUCUUGCUCGAGGAGGAGGACCACCCGAUCUCGACGACGGCACGGCAACAGGUAGCACUCGCCUCCCUCCCAUGAUGAAGGUCUGAUCCGCCUGUUUAGAUGGUCUGCUCUUGUCUUAUGCAUGUGAGGGGAGAAGAAAGCCAUUGGACUGAAUUAUAUUUGCAUGUGAGGGGAGCGGUCCUUUUGGUAGAUGCAGAGUAUAGAUUCACAAAAUUCACCACAUGAGCGUACUACCUAUAUCCAAAUUCUGGAUACCACUUGCAUCUUUUGUAUGUACACAUGAAAAAGCAUGACGGUUUGCUUCA